UCUCUCUCUCUCUCUCUCUCUCUAUUAGACACAUUAUUUUCUCCGCAAAAAGAACAAAAUUUCUCUAAACUAAAGAAUUUUAAUUAUCUCUGUCUGUCCCUGGCUUAGUUUUGAACAUAUUGGUUCUCUCUCUCUCUCUCUCUUCAAACCAUAGUGUAAUUAUACACCUUUGCUCUUAUGCCAAAACAAAAAACGAUAAAUUUAGCUCAAGUUUCAAAACAAACCCUCUCUCUCCCAAUAUUCAGCAAGUCGCCGUUUAAAAUACAAUUUUUUCAAAAAGUUUCUUAUUUUUAAAAAUACCUUUAGAACUCUGAGUCUUUUAAAAAAUCGUGUUUUUUUAAUGGAACUGAUAUAAAUCCCUAUUUUAUC
rnacentral:lncRNA from 1 species